GAACGCACAUUGCGCCCGCUAGUAUUCUGGCGGGCAUGCCUGUCUGAGCGUCAUUUCAACCCUCGCCCCCGGCUUUUGCUGGGAGCGGUGUUGGGGAUCGGCCGCCCGUCACUGGGAGGCCGGCCCCGAAAUAGAGUGGCGACCACGCCGUGUGCUCCUCUGCGUAGUAGUAAAUCACCUCGCAGGCGGACAGCGGUGCGGCCUGCCGUAAAACCCCCAACUCUUUCUAUGGUUGACCUCAGAUCAGGUAGGAAUACCCGCUGAACUUAAG
rnacentral:misc_RNA from 1 species